UAUGUACGACUGACCAAAUGCAAGCGA
rnacentral:piRNA from 1 species